rnacentral:rRNA from 1 species
AAAUUGAAGAGUUUGAUCAUGGCUCAGAUUGAACGCUGGCGGCAGGCCUAACACAUGCAAGUCGAACGGUAACAGGAAACAGCUUGCUGUUUCGCUGACGAGUGGCGGACGGGUGAGUAAUGUCUGGGAAACUGCCUGAUGGAGGGGGAUAACUACUGGAAACGGUAGCUAAUACCGCAUAACGUCGCAAGACCAAAGAGGGGGACCCUCGGGCCUCUUGCCAUCGGAUGUGCCCAGAUGGGAUUAGCUUGUUGGUGGGGUAACGGCUCACCAAGGCGACGAUCCCUAGCUGGUCUGAGAGGAUGACCAGCCACACUGGAACUGAGACACGGUCCAGACUCC